rnacentral:rRNA from 1 species
UACGGAGGGGACUAGCGUUGUUCGGAAUUACUGGGCGUAAAGCGCACGUAGGCGGAUUUGUAAGUCAGGGGUGAAAUCCCGGGGCUCAACCUCGGAACUGCCUUUGAUACUGUCAGUCUAGAGUCCGGAAGAGGUGGGUGGAAUUCCUAGUGUAGAGGUGAAAUUCGCAGAUAUUAGGAAGAACACCGGUGGCGAAGGCGGCCCACUGGUCCGGUACUGACGCUGAGGUGCGAAAGCGUGGGGAGCAAACAGG